GUGUCAGCCGCCGCGGUAAUACAGAGGUCCCGAGCGUUGUUCGGAUUCACUGGGCGUAAAGGGUGCGUAGGUGGUGGGGUAAGUCGGAUGUGAAAGCUCGGAGCUCAACUCCGAAAUGGCAUUGGAAACUGCCCUGCUAGAGGGUCGGAGGGGGGACUGGAAUUCUCGGUGUAGCAGUGAAAUGCGUAGAUAUCGAGAGGAACACCAGUGGCGAAGGCGAGUCCCUGGACGACACCUGACACUGAGGCACGAAAGCUAGGGGAGCAAACAGGAUUAGAAACCCCGGUAGUCC
rnacentral:rRNA from 1 species